AAAAAGCUGUAGGGAGCAAAACCCUUGUGCAGGGCUGGUCCCUGGUUUGUGACCUAAGCAGCCAUGGUGCUCCCUUCUUAGGAGGGCUUUGUGCCUGGCGUAAUGCUCUGCUACCUCCAUCUUGAAAUUUUUAAUAGUAUUUGAACAAAAGUACACAUUUUUCAUUUUGCACUGGGCCUCUAAAACUAUGUAGCUGGUCCUCCACUUAUGCUAUGUUUAUAUAGUUGCAUUUUCGUUGGAGCUUGGGAUGACCUUGGUGAGACUGGAGGGGUCUUCACAUGUAGCCUGAGAUGCCUCACUCUUACUACACAAGUAUUUGUUCUUCUGCUUGAAAGCCUCAUCUGGUUGUGUACCUAGUCAAAUCCCCAUGAUAUCUCAGUAGAAGAAAGAAGGAGGAUCUUAAAACUUCAGGGAAGAAAUAAUUUCUUCAACGAAGACGAUAUAAGGUUGACACCAGAACUCUCAUGAGAAAACUGUAAACCAGAAGACAAUAACUUAACAACUUAUCCGUAAUUAUUUCUAAUCUAGAUUUCUAUACUCAGAAACUUUGUAAAGCUGUCUUUAGCUAAAUGAGAUAAAGAACUUGUAUCUCCGUCAAUCUAUUAUCUUAGGAAGUUACUUGAAGAAGUUUUCCAUCAAACUGAAAUAGAAAACCAAGAGAACAGAAGACAUGGGCUCCAGAAAACAGUAGCUCCAAUGUGAAAGAUCAAUACAGUUCACUAUCAGGAUGCAAUCAGCUCAUCCAGCCAAAAAAUCAAACAGACCAUAUUUAGUGCAGGAAAUUCAGAAACACCUGGAGGGGAAUUUCAAGAAAAAACAAAGGAAAGCAUGUAAUGAAUUGGAUUGGAUAAUAUAUGGAGAUGUUGGAAAUAAUAAUAUAUUAAAGGCUAUAAAUACAAGAAAAUCAAUUAAACAAUGAUAAUGGAAUCAUGAGGUGGAAAAGGAAAGGCUGCAAUACCUGAACUUAAAAGUAGCAAUUUAAUAUGAAGCAAAGGGAAGAUUACAUGGUAGUGAGCAACUAAUGUAGUGUAACUAGAGAAUCUAUUUGACCUGGGUAUCAGAAACAUUUCCCUUAAGGGGCUAAAGAGUAUUAACUCUACAAAGUGCACAUGACCCUAAAACACUAAGUAAUCUGUCAUUGAAAAAUAAAGUGUACAUUUAUUUGUAUUCACUUUAGAGUUAACCAGUGACUAAAGCAUAGGAACAUUGGUUGGGGCCAAAAGGGAAAAGUGUGAAUUCUGACAGCUUUAAUCAUAAUUUUAAAAAUGAUUCAAUAACUAAUAGAAAGUAGAAUAUAAAAGGCUGAGUGUGAUAAAGAAGGUGAGUGCAAGGGUAGUGGAAGUUAUAUUUCUGUUACAAAAUGGGAAAUUAGACAUAUUUUCAGACAGUCAAAUUAUUAAAAAUACAAAGCAAUCCAACAGUAAAACAGAAAUUCAAAUUCAGAGGAGAAAAGAUAGGUGUAGUUAGCUUCAGUAAUGUAAAUCCUCAUCUUUCAUAUUGAGAAUUAAACAGCAAUGGUCUUAAGUUGGUCAUUAAAAUGGUGUUGUAAACCUACUGUGUAGCAUUAUGGAGAUAUUCCCGUAAAUAAUAAAAUACAAAUUUGAGAAAUAUUAUUACAUUUACAAAGGUGUUAUACUAUUCUAAUAUGUACAAGAGUAAAAAUAAGAUUGGCAGCUGCGGGGAGAUGCGUGCAAAAGAGCAUCAGUGAGAGGGCCAUAUAUACACAGGGCAGAAGAGAACUAAUUAUGCCAAAGAAAUGUUCUUCCCUAUGGACUUGACACAAUAAUGGAGCCUCUGAUUUCUUUCAAAAAGUAACAAGCUGAAGAGGUUUAGUAGAAGCCAUUUUUAUUAGAAGGCUUGAAGGAAUUACAGUGUUUUGGACAAGGAACACAAAGAAAAUUGAAACUAAGUUUUGUAUAUUUCAAUUUAAAGUCUGCUUUAACAGGUAAAGUAGGGUAAAGUAGUGGAAAUUUGAUAAUACGCAAAAAUGUUUCUAUAUUUUGCAGAAAGAAACCUGGAGAAAUUGUAAUAGGAUGUAAAAGUAUGUAUAUAAUUUAGAAUUAACAGGAAAAAAAAAACUCAGUGCCUUAAAGAAGGAGCUGAUUUCAUUUACAUCACAUAGGAUAAACUAAUAGAAUUUUAAUAUUAAUACCUUCAGUACAGUGAAUUAAUCUCAGGAUAACCGUUUAAAUGUUUAGCUAGUUCAUUUUAAAAUAGAAGGUGUAGUACUUUACUUACUGUAUAGCCUAGAGAUUGCACAUAGAGAUGAAGGAUUAUGAUAUUAAAUCUAGAAACACAUGUCUUUAUGUUUGGGGGCAACCUAAGUGUAUAUGUAUAAGGUGACAAUGUGUGUAUGAUUAUGACUAUUUAUUAACCAUCACUAUGAAAAUGUAAAAUGUAGUGAAAGUAUUUGUAUAACUUAACUGAACCACUAUGAGUUUUUUGUUUUAUUUUGUUUUUUCAAGACAUGCUCUUCCUGUGUCAUCCAGGCUGGAGUGCAGCGGUGCAAUCACGGCUCACUGCAGCCUUGAACUCCCAGGUUCAAGUGAUCCUCCCACCUUAGCCUCCUGUGUAGCUAGGACUACAGGCAUGCAUCACCAUGCCCCAUGCCACCACGGUUACCACACCUUGCUAAUUUUUGUAUUUUUUGUAGAGACGGGAUUUUGUUAGGCACACCCAGGCUGAUCUGGAACUCUUGGGCUGAAGCCCACAUCCUCUUAUAGUGCUGGGAUUACAGGUGUGACCCACUGUUCCUGACCACCUCUAUGAAUUCCUAAAUAUACUAUAUGAAUUACGCUAUUUUCCUUUGUCUGUAUUCACAAGUGACAUUCACCUGAUGAUUUACAUAUUUUAUUUUGCGUAUAUUUUCUUUUCUUUGUUCACAAAGAAUAUAGAAAUGACAAUACGUGUUAAGUAGGUCCCAUUUCUUCAUUCCAUUGUGUUUGAUGUUUUAGUAUCAUUGGUAACAUUGUUUUUUUGUCAGAACAUUCUUGACUAUACAAGAGUCGAUCAUUUAAAGCUACUUUCAUUAUAAUCUUCUAAAGUACUCUUAGGAGAUAAUCAGGAAAAAACAUACAGAUAAAUAUAUAGAUAUGUUGCGGGAAAUCAGGGAUUCUGAACAGAGGGACCUGCUGAAGCUGUGACAGAAUAACAUAAAUUGUGAAGAUUUCAUGGACAUUUAUUCAUUCCCCAAAUUAAUACUUUUAUAAUUUCUUAUACCUGUCUUUACUACAAUCUCUGAACAUAAAUUGUGAAGAUUCCAUGGACAUUUAUCACUUCCCCAAUCAAUACUCUUGUGAUUUCCUAUGUCUGUCUUUAAUCUAUUAAUCCCAUCAUCUUCAUAAGCUGAGGAUGUAUGUCGCCUCAGGACCCUGUGAUGAUUGUGUUAACUGCACAAAUUGUUCAUAAAGCAUGUGUGUUUAAACAAUAUGAAAUCUGGGCACCUUGAAAAAAGAACAGGAUAACAGCGAUGUUCAGGGAAAAAGGGAGAUAACCAUUGGGCCUGACUGCCUGAGGUGCCAGGUGGAACAGAGUCAUAUUUCUCUUCUUACAAAAGCGAAUAGGAGAAAUAUCGCUGAAUUCUUUUUCUCAGCAAGGAACAGCCCUGAGAAAGAAUGCAUUCCCAGAGGGAGGUCUCUAAAAUGGCCACUCUAGGAAUGUCUGUCUUAUACGGUUGUAAACAAGGGAUGAAACAAGCCCCAGUCUACCGUAGGGCCCCCAGGCCUAUAGGAUCAGGAAAUUCCUGCCUAGUAAAUUUUAGUCAGACCGGUUGUCUGCUCUCAAACCCUGUCACCUGAUAAGAUGUUAUCAAUGACAAUGCGUGCCCAGUGGGACAUGAAAGUUAAUUAGCAAUUUUAAUUUCAUCCUGGUCCCAUGAUCUCGCUCUGCCCCCAUUUGCCUUGUGAUAUUUUAUUGCCUUGUGAAGCAUACAACCUCUGUGACCCACACCCUAUUCAUACACUCCCUCCUUUUCAAAUCCAUAAUAAAAACUUGCUGGUUUUGUGGCUUGGGGGCAUCACGGAACCUGCUGACAUAUGAUGUCUCCCUUGGACACCCAGCUUUAAAAUUUCUCUGUUUUGUAUUCUUUCCCUUUAUUUCUCAGACCAACCGACACUCAGGGAAAAUAGAAAAGAACCCACGUUGAAAUAUCGGGGGCUGGUUCCCCCGAUAUAGAUAUAUUUUUAAAAUCGAAGAGACAUUAUAAUGUUAUUUUAUUGUAUCUCUUAUUGAAUGGGACUUUCCUUUCUUUCUUUCUUUCUUUCUCCCUCUCUCUGUCUCUACUUCUUCCUUCCUUCCUAGCUUCUUUCCUUCCUUGCUUCCUUUCUUUGUUUUCUUCCUUCUUUGGAUAUUGCUGUGAACACAGCGUAUAGACAAAGUAAAAUCCUCUCUGCUAAAAUCAUGUGUUUAUGCACAUAAUAGGCUAACACUAUGGAUAUGCAAUCUACCAUUUGAAAAUAGUUCAUUCCAGACUAAUCUCACUUUAUUCACGAUUGUUAUAUCUUGACAUAUGUCCCCCCAAAACUUCAUAUGUUGAAUUGUAUUCCAAAACGUCAGACUUUGACUGUCUUUGGACAUAGGACCUUUAAAGAGGUCAUUAAUUUAAAAUGUCUUUAGAAUAGACCCUAAUCCAGUAUGAUUUAUCAGAAAAGGCAAUUAGGAUACACAGUGGGUCAACCUAUGUGAGGACACAACUAGAAGGAGGCCAUCCUCAAGCCAAGGAAAGGGGCCACAGAAGAACUUAGCUUGCCAAUGCCAACACCUUGAUCUUAAACUUCCAGGCUUCCGUAAUUGUGAGGAAGUAUUUUUACGUUGUUUAAACUACCCAGUCUGUGUUAUUUUGUUACAGCAGACCUAGUAAACUAAAACAACAACUUAGAUGCUUGUGCGUUUAAAGGUUGUAACUUUAACAUGCUUUCUUUUUGUUCAUUCACUCUCAUGUAUGUGUCUGCAUUCUCUUAGGUUAACUUUUUCACAUGUAUGACUUUGAGUACAAUCUUAUUGCUGCUGAUGCCGACCAAACCUUAGCCUCUAAUAAUUUAGACUCAUAUAAAACUGAUUAAUGGAUAUAUAAUUUAUUGUUGCAUGGGUUUCACAAACUCAGGAUGUCCCAAAUGAAUUCUUCAUUUUUUCUACAAUUCUGUUCAUGUGCUCGCAUACUUUCUACAGCAGUAAGUGGUGGGAUAUUCUAGUAAGUAGACCAAAUAUGGGAAUCUAUAAUUUCUGUGGCAAGUGCAUAGUCUAUUAAUUACUAUAAUGUGAUCUUGUCCAGUUGCACAAGUCCCCCAAUUAUAAUUGUCUCCCAUUAUUUUAUAUUUAGUCUUGAAAUUUCACUUAUAAAUAAAAGAAUUAGUUUUUCAAAUUUAAUAUAAACAAGAAACCAAUACCAAACUAAACAAGCACAAAACAAAUAAAAACGAUUAUAAUAUUUAUUAGGAUUGCCUGGAAUGUAAACAUAAAUAUGAGUAUAGUUAAUAUCUAAAUGAUAUUGAGACUUCAUAGUAGCCAUGAAAUUUUUAUAUAUUUUAAAUUAUUCAGGUGUUAUUUUCUUUCAGUAUAGUUUUAUAAUUCUCUGGAUACCUUUCUUAAAUUUAUUAUUGAAUUUAUGCCUAUGCAUUUUAUAUUUUUAUUAAAAUUAUAAGUGACAUCCUCUAUUAAAGAAUAUUUUCUAAAUGACUAUUGCUGGUUUAUAUAAAUGUAAUUUAUUUUUGCAUUUAAUUUAUAUUUAAUGUAGGUAUUUUGAGUUUUCUUUGUAGGAGAUAAUAUAAACUGCCAAUAUUCAUGCUUUUUCUUAUUAAACACUUUAUACCCAUUAUUGAUUUUUCAUUAUGUACUCCACAAUAUCUUUUAUUACAAAGUUGUUGUUAUCUUUUCUAUUGUUCAGGUUUUAAUGAAAUUCUUAGUAUUUUACUGUGAUGUUUACUGAAGGUUUUUGUAAAUACCCUUCAUUACGUUAAGUAAGUUUUCUUCUUUGAUAUGUGGUAAGAAUUUUUAUUAUGAAAGCAUUUUAAUUUGUUCAAAGCUAUUUUCUGCUUCUAUCAACAUGACAUUAUGCUAUUACUUUUCCUUAAUUAUUAACAUGGUGAAUAUAUUUUAUUAAUUCUGUAAUAUCAAACUUUACAUCCUUAUAAGUAAUGUAAAACAGGAUGUUUGAUUUAUUGAUAUUAGGUUAACUGCUUUUUUUUAACCUGAUAAUUUAAGUACUUUUAAAAUCAUUUGUUAAACCUCAAGAGAAAUGUAUCAAGAUUUCAUUGUUCUCAUAGUUAUUUAAAGAUUAGUAGCCCUCUUAAGUUCUCUGGAAAAUUACUAUACAAUUCUAGUAUAUAUUUUUAAAACUGCUUCUCAUCUUGAAGCAAUAAAGCAUUUGAGAAAAACACUAGAAUCAAGUUCUAUCAUCUCCAAUUAGAAUCUUUGUAGUUUUAGGAACAAUUUUUCUGCCUCAGUUUUCUCAUCUACAAAAUAAGGAUAAAAUAUUACUUAUAUACAUUGUUGUUUUGAGAAUAAAAUAAUGUACUAUAAUAGUGUAUUUUAUAACUGUACAUAAAUAAAUGAAAUGCUAUUGUUACAUAUAAUUACUAUCUUGUGUAAUUAAGUUCUGGUGUAUUUCAG
rnacentral:lncRNA from 1 species